rnacentral:rRNA from 1 species
AUACGGAGGACGCGAGCGUUAUCCGGAUUCAUUGGGUUUAAAGGGUGCGCAGGCGGCCGUGCAAGUCAGCGGUGAAAGCCCGGGGCUCAACCCCGGAAGUGCCGUUGAUACUGCAUGGCUGGAAUGCGGUCGAGGCGGGCGGAACGUGGCGUGUAGCGGUGAAAUGCGUGGAUAUGCCACAGAACGCCGAUAGCGGCAGCAGCUCGCCAGGCCUGCAGUGACGCGCGGGCACGAAAGCGUGGGGAUCGAACAGGAUUAGAUACCCUGGUAGUCCACGCCGUAAACGAUGGGCGCUCGUCGUCGGCGGCAGACGGUCGGCGGCCAAGCGAAAGCGAUAAGCGCCCCACCUGGGGAGUACGGUCGCAAGGCUGAAACUCAAAGGAAUUGGCGGGG